GUGAUGCUCGUUUUAAAUAUAUCGGGAAUUUUAACAACAAAAAUGGAACUCUCCAGUUAUCCAAUGUUACCCUGAAGGAUGAAGGCAGCUACACAUGCAUCUUCACCUUAUUUCCCAGUGGAAAUCAAAAGACUGAGAUACCUCUAAACUUGCUUGUGCCUCCUUUCACAAACGUCAAGGACAAUCUUCCCACUUUGGGCACAGAAGAGGUUUUAUUUGCUACCUGCACAGCUGCUGGCUCUAGGCCUCCUGCAGAGGUGAGGUGGCUCACUGGUGUUUUGAGAGACAAAAUGAGGACGACAACAAACUCCACACAGUAUGACAACGGCACGACUACCACAGUCAGCUCUCUAAAUUAGCUUCUCAACAUGUCCUGAAGUUCUCCAGAGGCCUGGUAACGAACUAAUCAUGUGAUUCAGGUGUGUUAACCCAGGGUGGGAUCUAAAACCUGCAGGACACCGGCACUCGAGGCCUGGAGUUGCCUACCCCUGCUCCAAAUCAUCAACAUUUGGUUCUCACUCCAUCCUGCUUUAUGUGGCAGGAUGAAUGUUAUCCCUCGGUCCAACCCACUUUCAGCCUGGCGCAUUAGGGGGCGCUAGUAUAAAUAGUGGCCAUUUGAGUGUCCCUGGAUCGCUUACCUGUGAUCUCCUUUUUGGUCACCUGACUUCCCUUUGGUGUUGCCGAGAUCAUUUGCGGGUUACUCUUCUGAAGCCUCCAUCGCGGCUGGUCGUAGCUGUAGAAGCCUCCUCUGAGCCAUUCUGCUCACGUUCUAUGACACGGCUUACUUGGAAGUGUGGGCCUUAGUUUUGCGCCACGCUACGCGAACUGAAGUGCUGCUGCUUUGCUUUGCUGUGCUUUUACCGUCUGUUCCCGUUGCGAGAUUUCUUUUCCUGCUGCUGCCAGCUUUUACAGUGGACGUCGGCGUGGACAGCGGCCAUAUGCAUGCCGGUUAUGGGAGUCAGCUGGCGUGCAUAUUGAUUGACCGUUAACUUGUAGUCGUGCAGACGGCAAGUUGGAGCAAUACGGUGAUUCCGUUUGCUCCAGAUUUUAGAGUUUUAUCCAGAUUGUAUGUUGUUUUCCUGUUUGAUUUGUAGUUUGGAUUUUUGUUACGCCACUGGUGGGAGGCCCUUUUUCUAGCUGUAGAUCACCAGUGUGGUCCUGCAGUUGGGUUAUCCCCCAGCGCUACACAUUAGUUUGUUGUGAUAUAUUAAAAUUUUCUUUGUUUCUUUUAUUCAGAUGCGGAGCGCCGACGUGGAGGAGACUAGGGUGCCUUGGUGGUGGGAUCCUUUGCGUGUACACACCUGCCUUGUUAGUUUAUUAGUGUGAGUGUGUGAUAGUGUGCUGCACUUGUGUCUUGGUGUGUUUUCUUUUUAGUUUGUUUGUGGCAUCCCUGCCCCUCCACUGGUAAGCCUCAGCUCUGAAUACUUUUUUAAGCAUAUUUGUACAUGGAUAUUUAUGAUUGUGCUUUUAUACGGUGUUUUAAAUAAUUAUUAAUAAAUUGUCAACUU